UACAGAGGGUGCAAGCGUUGUUCGGAAUCAUUGGGCGUAAAGGGCGUGUAGGCGGUCUGUUAAGUCAUGUGUGAAAUCCCUCGGCUCAACCGGGGAACGACGCAUGAAACUGACAAGCUAGAGUACCAAAGAGGGGGGUGGAAUUCCCAGUGUAGCGGUGAAAUGCGUAGAUAUUGGGAGGAACACCUGCGGCGAAGGCGGCUACCUGGACAGAAACUGACGCUGAGGCGCGAAAGCUAGGGGAGCGAACGGG
rnacentral:rRNA from 1 species